UUGUUUCACCAAACAUGAGGCUGGAACUCACGAUCCUGAGAUCAACAGUCACACGCUUCACCAACUGAGCCAGCCAGGUGCCUCACUGGACAUGUUUCUGUUCACAAACUGGGAAGGGGAACAGCAUCAGAAGGGAGUUUCAGAGGCAGGCAAGCCUUUGAACCUCCCAGAAAGGACAUGAGCCGCUUGGCACUACACGGCAUACGCGAUAAGGAGCUGAGCUGACAGCCAAUGAGAGCUUACCACCCAUAGCAACUACCAGUCUGGAGCAUUUACCACGUGACCGACAGGUGCUGUGCUGAAAACUGCAGAGGCAUGACCUCCAGGAGUGGAAAAAACAACCUCUCACGGACUUCUUCCUACUUCAUUAGAGAGCUGAGGCUCGGAGAGAGGAGAUCACAACCCUGAGCCUUAGAAGGUGACACUUGGGCUGGAAGCACAGAUGACUAGAAUUGCAAGGCAAUAAGCAGAACAUGAAAGGCUGAGAAUGAGACCACGUCCAGAGUUUCUCUGGACGUGGUCCUCUCUGGACACCCUCCUGCCUCCAAGCCUGUGGCAAUCUGACGACAGACGGUUCAGAAAGCCUCUGGGCCCUCUCCGUGUCUUUCCACCUCUGACUCUCUUGGUGGACCCUUUUCACUUGCAUGCGUGGUUGUGUAACUGAUCCUGGCAGGGACUCAUGGUCAAAAUAAAGCCAACCACUUUUCUGCC